rnacentral:rRNA from 1 species
CCUACGGGAGACAGCAGUAGGGAAUAUUGCUCAAUGGGGGAAACCCUGAAGCCGCAACGCCGCGUGGAGGAUGAAGGUUUUCGGAUUGUAAACUCCUUUUGUUAGAGAAGAUAAUGACGGUAUCUAACGAAUAAGCACCGGCUAACUCCGUGCCAGCAGCCGCGGUAAUACGGAGGGUGCAAGCGUUACUCGGAAUCACUGGGCGUAAGGAGCGCGUAGGCGGGAUAGCAAGUCAGAUGUGAAAUCCUAUGGCUUAACCAUAGAACUGCAUUUGAAACUGUUAUUCUAGAGUAUGGGAGAGGUAGGUGGAAUUCUUGGGGUAGGGGUAAAAUCCGUAGAGAUCAAGAGGAAUACUCAUUGCGAAGGCGACCUGCUAGAACAUAACUGACGCUGAUGCGCGAAAGCGUGGGGAGCAAACAGGAUUAGAUACCCGAGUAGUC